UGGGGAAUAUUGGACAAUGGGGGAAACCCUGAUCCAGCAAUGCCGCGUGAGUGAUGUAGGCCUUAGGGUUGUAAAGCUCUUUUACCAGGGAUGAUAAUGACAGUACCUGGAGAAUAAGCUCCGGCUAACUCCGUGCCAGCAGCCGCGGUAAUACGGAGGGAGCUAGCGUUGUUCGGAAUUACUGGGCGUAAAGCGCGCGUAGGCGGUUACUCAAGUCAGGGGUGAAAUCCCGGAGCUCAACUCCGGAACUGCCCUUGAAACUAGGUGACUAGAAUGGUGGGGAGGCGAGUGGAAUUCCGAGUGUAGAGGGGAAAUUGGUAGAUAUUCGGAAGAACACCAGUGGCGAAGGCGACUCGCUGGACAAGUAUUGACGCUGAGGUGCGAAAGCGUGGGGAGCAAACAGGAUUAGAUACCCGCGUAGUCC
rnacentral:rRNA from 1 species